rnacentral:lncRNA from 1 species
CACUCCUUCCUCGCACCCACAACACUCACCACCAUCGUCCCUCCCUCCUUCGCGUGCAAUGGCUUCUUGUGGUUGGUUCGCUCACCAAUUCGUGGGAGGGCUCCGUCAUGACCAACGAGCACAUUGCCUAUCUCCGGCGGACGCAAAAGGUCCUCCCUAUGGAGCGCGCCAAGGCACGCGCGCCCGACGACGAGCGCAUGACGGAGCCGUGUGCUGAUGAGCAUGUCG